AUGAGUCUCUUAAGCUGGAAUUGUCAUGGUGCGGGAAAAGCCGCGAAAAUCCGAGAACUUCGCGAAUUAGCGAGAAAAUUUGCCCCUACUCUUCUUUGUAUUGUUGAAACUCAGCUGGAUAGAGCGAGAGUAGAAAGUUUAGCAAGGUCCAUUGGUUUUGAUAACGCUUUUGCUGUUAGUAGUCAAGGUCGCAGUGGCGGCCUAGGUAUUUUUUGGAACAAUUCAAUAAAGGUUGAAAUUCUUGUGUACUCGAUGUAUCACAUUGAAUGUGAGAUUGUUGAACCGGGCCAAGAUCCUUGGAGGUCUACUAUGUUCUACGGUGCAGCGCAUGUUGGAAAUAUGCCCUAG
rnacentral:rRNA from 1 species